UACGUAGGGUGCAGGCGUUAAUCGGAAUUACUGGGCGUAAAGCGUGCGCAGGCGGUCUUUUAAGUCAGAUGUGAAAUCCCCGGGCUUAACCUGGGAACUGCGUUUGAAACUGAAAGGCUAGAGUGUGGCAGAGGGGGGUGGAAUUCCGCGUGUAGCAGUGAAAUGCGUAGAGAUGUGGAGGAACACCGAUGGCGGAAGGCAGCCCCCUGGGCUAACACUGACGCCUCAUGCACGAAAGCGUGGGGAGCAAACAGG
rnacentral:rRNA from 1 species